rnacentral:rRNA from 1 species
UUGACCUCAAAUCGGGUGGGACUACCCGCUGAACUUAAGCAUAUCAAUAAGCGGAGGAAAAGAAACUAACAAGGAUUCCCCUAGUAACGGCGAGUGAAGAGGGAAAAGCUCAAAUUUUGAAUCUGGUGUCUUUGGCGCCCGAGUUGUAAUCUAGAGAAGUGUUUUCCGCGUUGGACCGUUCACAAGUUUUCUGGAAUGAGGCUUCAUAGAGGGUGAGAAUCCCGUAUCUGGAACGGACUACCAAUGCUCUGUGAUACACUCUCAACGAGUCGAGUUGUUUGGGAAUGCAGCUCAAAAUGGGUGGUAAAUUCCAUCUAAAGCUAAAUAUUGACGAGAGACCGAUAGCGAACAAGUACCGUGAGGGAAAGAUGAAAAGCACUUUGGAAAGAGAGUGAAACAGUACGUGAAAUUGUUGAAAGGGAAGCGUUUGAAGUCAGUCAUAUCUGUCGGGAUUCAGCUUGGCUUUUGCCUUGUGUACUUUCCGUCCGAUGGGUCAGCAUCAAUUCAGACCGAGGGAAAAAGGCGUUUGGAAUGUGGCUGUCUUCGGGCAGUGUUAUAGCCUCGCGUUGUAUGUCUCGGUUGGGAUUGAGGAACGCAGCGCGCCACUUAAUUGGCCGGGGGUUAAGUCCUCUCGUAUCGCGCUUAGGAUGCUGG